CUUGACCUCAAAUCGGGUGAGACUACCCGCUGAACUUAAGCAUAUCAAUA
rnacentral:rRNA from 1 species